AGGGUUUGAUCAUGGCUCAGAUUGAACGCUGGCGGCAGGCCUAACACAUGCAAGUCGCACGGUAACAGAACUAGCUUGCUAGUUGCUGACGAGUGGCGGACGGGUGAGUAAUACUUAGGGAUCUGCCUCUGUGUGGGGAUAACUAUUGGAAACGAUAGCUAAUACCGCAUAACGUCUACGGACCAAAGAGGGCUUCGGCUCUCGCGCAGAGAGGGACCUAAGCGAGAUUAGCUUGUUGGUGAGGUAAAGGCUCACCAAGGCGACGAUCUCUAGCUGUUCUGAGAGGAAGAUCAGCCACACUGGAACUGAGACACGGUCCAGACUCCUACGGGAGGCAGCAGUGGGGAAUAUUGCACAAUGGGGGCAACCCUGAUGCAGCCAUGCCGCGUGUGUGAAGAAGGCCUUCGGGUUGUAAAGCACUUUCAGUUGUGAGGAAAGGUUAGUAGUUAAUACCUGCUAGCUGUGACGUUAACAACAGAAGAAGCACCGGCUAACUCCGUGCCAGCAGCCGCGGUAAUACGGAGGGUGCGAGCGUUAAUCGGAAUUACUGGGCGUAAAGCGCACGCAGGCGGUCUGUUAAGCUAGAUGUGAAAGCCCCGCGCUCAACGUGGGAGGGUCAUUUAGAACUGGCAGACUAGAGUCUUGGAGAGGGGAGUGGAAUUCCAGGUGUAGCGGUGAAAUGCGUAGAGAUCUGGAGGAACAUCAAUGGCGAAGGCAACUCCCUGGCCAAAGACUGACGCUCAUGUGCGAAAGUGUGAGUAGCGAACAGGAUUAGAUACCCUGGUAGUCCACACCGUAAACGCUGUCUACUAGCUGUUUGUGGAUUUAAUCCGUGAGUAGCGAAGCUAACGCGAU
rnacentral:rRNA from 1 species